rnacentral:rRNA from 1 species
UACAGAGGUCUCAAGCGUUGUUCGGAUUCAUUGGGCGUAAAGGGUGGGUAGGUGGCGGGGCAAGUCUGGUGUGAAAUCCCGGGGCUCAACCCCGGAACUGCACUGGAUACUGCUUUGCUAGAGUACUGGAGAGGGAACUGGAAUUUACGGUGUAGCAGUGAAAUGCGUAGAUAUCGUAAGGAAGACCAGUGGCGAAGGCGAGUUCCUGGACAGUUACUGACACUGAGGCACGAAGGCCAGGGGAGCAAACGGG